rnacentral:lncRNA from 1 species
GAUAACCAUUCUUUCUUAUUUUAACCUAAAAUAAGCAUACCCUAAUUUUAUUCUCAUUAUUCCUCUGUAGCAAGAGAAGAGUCGCAACUCUCUCCUUCCUUCUCUUUGCCACUUACGGGAGGUCACACCCCCUAGGCCAGUAGCCGCCGGCCUCAACCAUCGUCCUUCCCCUCUCUCUCUCUCUCUCAUCUCCUCUUCCUUAUUCCGGAAAAGCCAGCUAAGGUAGCAGCUGUGUCCAGCCCAUUUGUCAGCAGCAGCGAGCUCCGACAGAGUUUUUUAAAGUUUCAAGCUGGUCAAAAGAAGGAACUUUAACAGAUCCAUCAGGUUUGUCCCUUUUCCUUAAAUUAUUAUUAAUCUCCAAAUGUGCUUAAUUUUUUGUUCUCGAUCUUCUCAUGAUUUCUAUGAAAAAAAUUUAUGCAUGUUCAAUUUAUAUGAAAAAUUACUAGUUUCUAUAAAGUUAUUAGAAUGAAAAAUAUGGGUUAUUUUUAUGAUCUUAAGCAUGCUUUCUGUUUGAUUUUUUAAUUUCUUUAAAUUUAUCAAGAAUGUAAAGAUAUCUCUACGUUAUCGUCUGUUAGCAUAUCUUUGAUUUUAGCAUCAUUGGAUUUUCUAAUUCUCGGUUUGGCUAAGUUAAUUGAUAUUUGACCGAUUUUCCCAAUUCUUUUCCUAAUUAUUUAGUUUGAGAAGUAUUCCCUCAAUUGAUUCAUCUUACUGCAAAAAUUUCAUUGCCUUUGUAUGCUUUUUGAUCUUAUGGUAAUAGAAUAGAGGUCAAAAUCUUGUUACAAAUUGAGCUAUGAAUAUAUUUUGUGGUUCUUGUUAAAUGUAAAAUUCAAUUAAUUAUUUUUCCUUUUUUGUUAAUUGACACCAGUUUUCUUAUUUAUAUAUGAGCUGAUACUUACAUACUAUUUAUGUAAAGGUUGUAUUUGAUUAAGGCAAAAUGAAGAAUUUUUCUAAUUUUAUGCUCCUUUGUUAAAGAGGAAAAAAUAUCCAAAUCCUUCCUUUUUCGUUCUAUAUUUGAAAUCUUUGAUAUCUAUCUUCCUGUUUAUCACUUUAUUUUCUAAGAAUUAAUCGUAAAAUUGUAUGUACUGACCUUUACUUGGUCAAUAAGUAUUUGAUCCCUUAAAUAAUCUUAUGUUAUCUUUGCUACCAUUAAUUAUUACAUCCUUGCCUUAAUUAAUUGAACAAAAAUUCUUACUUACAUGAAUUUUAUAUAAUAUCGAUACUAAAUGGCUUCCUCCUGCCUUAUAUAAAUUUAAAGACUCUUACAUGCUCUAAACUAAGUAAAUUUCUUCUAAUUAAAAAAGUGUCAACUCAUUUAGCUUGCUUCUUAAUAAGGAAAAAAAAAGUAUCAGAGGCUUAAUUCAUUUUUUUUCCUUGUGGUUGUGCCCCGUGCUUAUUAUUAAACCACUCCUUAUUCUCUUUAUUUCCACGACUCAACACUCACACAUUCUAGCAAUAAGCAAAAACACUCUCUAGUAUCUAAAUAAAAUAUUUCAGGGAUAGUCUAGGGGAAACGAGAUGUACGUGCUAAUUGUUUUGUUUUAUGUUAUUUGUUACAUUUGAUUAUUAUAAAAAUCUGUUUGUAUCACUUAGCAAUAAAAUUGGGUAAAUGUAUUAUAAUAAUUGACCUAAUGACUCUUAUAUAUGUAACAAGGUUAGAUAAAAUGCAUAUAAGAUUUUAUUUUUCCAAACUUUAUUGAGUGUUUAAUUAUCUGUUUCAUGUGAUCGAAAUCAUUCAUAUAGGAACAAUCAAUUUUCUAUGUUAUUUAGCGUAGAAACCAUGCAUAUAGGUUAAAUAAUUUUUAUCUUACUUUUCACCUAGAAAAUCAUGUCCGUAGGAUCUAACGAAUAAGAUUCAACAUGUUGAUCAAUCAAGUCUUGAAAUAAUUGUAGCAUGUGAAUAACUAGUGUUAUUAAUGAUAUAUUUUCACUUAGAAAUCAUGCUAUAGGAUUUUCAUUAAUAAGAUUGAUAAUAGAAUUGUGCUAUGCCAAUAAAUCAAGUCUUGAAUAUAGGUUGGAUAAUUUUUUUCUUAUUCUUCACCUAGAAAAUUGUGUGUGUAAGUUGAAUAAUAGUUAUCUUAUUCUUUGCCUAGAAAACCAUGUAUGUAGGAUUUAAAGAAUAAAAUGAACAUGUUGAUCAAUCAAGUCUUCAGUAAAUUGUAGAAUGUUUAUAACCAGUCUUAAUAAUCACAUAUUUUUACUAAUAAAUCAUGUCUAUUGGAGUUUCAUUCAUAAUAUUGAUAAUAUAGUUGUAGCAUGUUAAUCAAUUGGUGCCCUUAAUAUUUUUUUAAUUUUUAUCUAUCUUAAAAUUGAUCUGCCUCUGUUAAAUAUUCUCAUUUAUUUAUUUCUGCAUGUUUCAUUCUAAUUUUCCACUAAAUGCAAUUAAUUAUUGAAUGAUAAUCAGAACCUUUUUAAAAUUAAGGUUUACUGUCUAAUUAAAUCCUCCCUGAUAUAUUUUAGUUUUUGCAUUAUAAAUAUAAAAGGGAUUCUGGCUUGUCGUAGUAUACCGUCAUGGGCAUUUGUUUAUUCAUUUUUUCCAAUUUUAAUAAAUAAGUUUGUGAAGUAAAUUAAGUUUUCCAAAUUGAUCCAUCACAAAAACAUGUAGAUAUAAAGUUAUCAAAAAGAGUCCUUACUAUACAUAGUUAAAAGCUUGAAAAUUGAGCAAGUAAACAAAUCUUCGAAGUAAAUGUGUGCCUCGAUUUUAUUCUCUCUGUAGUGUUAGGAUUGAAUUCACGCACACACACUUGAUGAAUGAAGAACACAAGGACUUUCAAGAAAAAGAGAUGAGAGAUAUAGAGAGAUAAAGAGAAAACCUAAUAUUUCGUGGUAACACCCCGUGAGUAAACUUCUACGGCGGUGGGGUAUAUUUAUAUUAAUAAAUCAGAGUAUUUUUGGUUAAAGUUAAUAAAUGGAGAAUAAAUAGUAAAGCCUAAAAGGUUAUACCGCGUAAACAAUUAUAUAUAUUAAUCAGGCUGCACAACCUAACAAUUCUUCCACUUGGAGACUAAUUCAGUCAUCCAAAAAAUACAUUUUCAAAAAAGAAAUCUCUUCAUCAUCAACAUCUUUACCACACCUCAACACUUGUAGCAACAACUACAGAAGACCAACCGAGGUUUUGCAUAACCCCAGUUUCCCAACAUCAACAUAUAUCGUCAACAUGUCUGUCGGGCUCUUUGCACCCUCUAUCUUCUCCAAGCACAUAUAACCAUCCUCCACUGCCAUGUGAGUGAAAUGGUAUCGCCUUCUGAUGUGCUUUGUCUUCGACUGAUAGACUGGAUUUUUUACCAAUUGUAUGGCACUCUGGCUAUCUGAGUAGAGAAUCUUCUCGCUCUGCUUCUUGCCCAAUUCCUCAAGAUAUUUUGCCAGCCAUAUCAUGUCUUUCCCAGCUUCAGCUUUUGCCACAUACUCAUCUUCAGUAGAUGAGAGAGAAACACACUUUUGAAGCCUGGACAUUCGACUCACUGCAUUUCCACCUAUUGUGUAAAUGUAUACGGAUGUACACUUGCUCGAGUCAACAUCCCCACUGAGAUCAGCAUUCACAAAACCUGGUAGAGUCACCUUGCCUUUGCCAAAACAAAGUGAAGUAUUGGAUGUACCUCUCAGAUAUCGUAGAAGCCACUUCAUAGCUUCCCAAUGCUCUUUCCUAGGGUUCGGCAUGUACCUGCUAAUAACUCUCACUGUAUGUGCUAUAUCAGGUGUAGUGUAGACCAUAACAUACAUCAAACUACCAACUUCUAAAGCAUAUGGAAGAAGUGACAUGUGAUCACGCUCCUCGGCAGUCUUGGGUGACUGCUCCUUUGACAAUGUAAAGUGAUUUUCCGAUAGAGUAGUCAUGUGUUUAGGAGCAUUAACCCUAAAUCUGCUCAUCACCUUCUUAAUGAACAACUCCUGAUAUAGAUUUAAUGUGCCAACAGAUCUAUCCGGAGAAUCAUCCCCAAAAUCUGCUUCGCUGGGCCCAAAUCUUUCAUCUCAAAUGUUGCAGACAACCUUGUCUUCAGAUUGUUAAUCUCCCUUAUACUAUAUCCCGCAAUCAACAUAUCAUCCACAUACAAGAGUAGAAAGACAUAUGAAUCAGUGUAUUUCUUAAAGUUACAACAAGGAUCCUUUUCAGCUUUAAAGAAUCCACUCUUGGUCAUGAAGGAGUCAAAUUUCUCGUACCACUGCCUUGGUGCUUGCUUUAGUUUAUACAAGCUCCUGGUGAGCUUGCACAUCAUGUGUUCCUUGCCUUGAACCACAAAUCCUUCCGGUUUCUGCGUAUAGAUCUCUUUGUCUAGAUAACCAUGUAAAAACACUGUUUUUACAUCCAUUUGCUCUAGAUGCAAAUUCUACGAUGCAACAAUACUCAACAAAAUUUGAAUAGAGGUUAACUUCACAACAGGAGAAAAUAUUUCAGCAUAAUCAAUACCUUUCCUUUGUGAAUAUCCUUUAACCACUAAACGAGCCUUGAAACUUCUUUUGCCAUCUGGUUCUGUCUUGAUUAUGAACACCCACUUGUUCAGCAAAGCUCUCUUUCUUGCAAGUAACUCAGUCAACACCCAUGUGCCGUUCUUCUCAAGUUACCUCAUCUCAUCACCCAUGGCCUUCUCCCACUUGAUCGAAUCCUCCACCUAUAGGGCCUCAUCAAAAGACUCUGGUUUCCCCUCAUCAGUCAGCAAUAGAUAGUGUAAUGAAGGUGAAUAUCUAUCUGGUUCCCUGAUGGUUCUGAAUGAUCUCCUUCACACCUGCUCAGGUGUAACUUUCUCCACUUCAGAUUCUUUAGUAGUAGUUGGUUCAGUAUCUGCUUUGACAUAUCUGGGGGUUACUCUUCUCCAACUCAACCUCAACUCUCACUUGCUUGGUAAUCUCUAGAAACUUCUGCUCUCUGUCCUUGUACAGGACAGACUCAUCAAAUAUCACAUCACAAUGUCUCAGGAUCUUUCUGUUCUUGUCAUCCCAAAACCUGUAACCAAACAAAUCAGAACCAUAGCCUAUGAAGUAACACUUCACAGCCUUGGCAUCAAGCUUGUCUCUCUUUUCUAGAUCAACAUGAACAUAAGCAGUGCAACCAGAAGUCCUUAAGUGUGAGUACUUGAGUUCUUUUCUUGUCCACACCUCCUCUAGAAUCUUGAACCCUAAAAAACCGAUGGUCCCCUGUUGAUCAAGUAUGCAGGUGUGCUCACAACACCGCCCAAAAUGUUUUGGGCAGCCCAUAGUGUAUCCUCAUACUCCUUGCACGCUCAUUCAAUGUUCUGUUCAUCCACUCAGCAAUUCCAUUCUGCCUUGCCUUACAAGGAACUGUUCUCAUCAAUUUGAUUCCCUCAGCUGCACAAGAUGCCUUGAACUCUGAUUUGUCAUCCUCUCCUCCAUUGUAAGACCUUAGGCAUUUGACUUUCAAACCGGUUUGAUUCUCAACUUCAGCUUUCCACUUCUUGAAAGUUGCAAACACAUCUGACUUAUGCUUCAAGAAGUAAACUCAUACCUUCCUGCUGAAAUCAUCAAUGAAGGUAUUAUAGAAUCUGGAUCCUCCAAGUGAUGAUACUGGAGAUGGUCCCCAAACAUUUGUAUGGACCAUUUCAGACUGCACUUUCUUUGGCUCUCUAAGAGUCUUUGUGAAGAUUACUCUUUUCUGUUUGCCCAUAGCACAGCUCUCGCAAAGACCCAUAUCAACAGACUUCAGACCCUCUAAUGCUCCUUUUGCAACCAGCAUCUUCAUUUCUUUAGCACUCAUGUGUCCAACUCUUUUGUGCCACAGACAUGAACCGGAAGCAUCUUCAACAACAGCGGCCAUAUUAAUACACCAUGCAGUGGUGUACAAGGUUCAAGAUUUGGUGCCACAAGCUACUACCAUAGCACCUUUCACAAUCUUCCACGAACCUUUCCCAAACUCUGUUGCAUAUCCCGUUCUAUCCAACUGACCAACAGAGAUUAUAUAUUUCUUGAGCCCAGGAAUAUAUAUGACAUCCUCCAAUGUCCAAUGGUUUCCUGAGGUGGUCUUUAUGCAAACAUCCCCCUUUCCUUCAAUCUCCAAGGCUUUAUUGUCAACAAGAUACACCUUUUCAAAAUUUCCAAAUUUGAAAUUUUGGAACAACUCCUUGCUUGGAGACGAAUGGAAAGAUGUACCAGAAUCCAAAAUCCAUGAUUCAACCGGGCUGUUUACACUAAGGAUUAGAGCAUCCCCAAUGGCCUCUGCUGAAUUUAUAAAAUGAUUGUCAUCUCCAAAUUUCUGAUUUUGUUUCUUCUUUGGUUUUGUACAGUUCUUCUGAAAGUGCCCUUUUUCUCCACAGUUCCAAGAAGUCGCGUUUGAUCUGUUUAGGGAUUUUCCUUGAUUCUUUGAUUUUGAUCGACCAUGUUGAUUUUGGCCUUUCGUCUUACUUCUCCCCCUUCGGUCAAUGCUGAGAGCACUACUCGAUGAAACUCCCACUUCUCGUUUGCGAAUACUUUCGCUAAGAACAACAUCACGGAUUUCAUCAAACUCUAGUUUCUCAGAUCCACGAGAACUGCUAAUCGCAGCAACAACAGUAUCUCAAGACUCGGGCAGAAUGAAAUCAAAAUUAACGCCUUAAUUUCAUCUUCCAAAUUAAUAUUCACAGAAUUGAAUUGACUCACAAUCAUAUUGAACUCGUUUAUAUGAUCAGAAAUGGAUCCAUUCUCAGACAUUUGUAAAUUGAAAAAUCUACGCAUAGAAUAUACCUUGUUCAUUGCUGAUGGUUUUUCAUACAUGUUUGACAGUGCCUUCAACAGACCGGAUAUAGUCUUCUCCUUCACAAUGUUGAACUCUACGUUUCUUGACAAAAACAACCGGAUCAACCCUAGAGACUGGCGAUCCUUAAGUUUCCACUUCUCCUCCUUCAUGGUUUUCGGCUUCACCCCGGCAAACGGUUCAUGAAGAUUUUUCUAGUACAAAUAAUCUUUGAUCUGCAUCUUCGAGAAACUGAAAUUGGAUCCAUCAAACUUCUCGAUUCCAAGCUUUGAACUAUCCAUCUUCAGUGAUCGUGUUGAAUCUCCUUUGCUCUGAUACCAGUUGUUAGGAUCGAAUUCAUGCACACACACUUGAUGAAUGAAAAACACAAGAACUUUUAAGAGAAAGAGAUGAGAGAUCUAGAGAGAGAAAGAGAAAAUCCAAUAUUUCGUGGUAAUACCCCGUGAUAAACUUCCACGGCGGUGGGGUAUAUUUAUAUUAAUAAAUCAGAGUAUUUUUGGUUACAGAGAAUAAAUGGAGAAUAAAUAGUUAUAUAUAUUAAUCAGGCUCCACAACCUAACAUGUAAUCCAUGUGAUCAAGAACUUUCGAAGAUCAAAUAUGUGAACUCAACUAGUUUGGAAAAUUUCAUUGGUAAUAUAUGGUCCCUGCUUAGAGAUAUGUAGCCCCUUGUUUAUAGAAAUGUAUCAACAAAAUUUAAAAGUUAUAUUUAUAGAGUCAUUGUUAAAUUGUCUUAUUUGUAUAUAGUGGAGUGUUAUCCAGUCAAGAACUCCAAUGUUAAUAAGUAUGUUGUAGUAGUGAGCUAGGACGUUGUAGUAAUGAGGAUGUUGAGAUGGAUAUGUGGGUAUACAAAGAGUGAUAAAAUUAUCAAUGAGGAUAUUUUGAUAAUUAGGAUAAUGAAAGAGUGGCAUCCAUAGUCGACAAGAUGAGUGAAGUAAGGUGGAGAUAAUAUGUACAUGUUAAAAGAAGAUGCACAAAUGCCCUAGUUAGAAGAUGCACAAAUGUCUAAGUUAGGAUAUUUUAAUGGUUUGAUUAUCUUAGAUAUCAGGAGAAGUAAAGGUAGAUUGAAAGAGUAUAUGGGUGUGGUAUUACAAGUCCGAGAAGUAUUCAUUACAUGGAUGAAUUUCUAUUUUGCAUGAAGAGCAUAUAGUUUUUAAAGAGAUUAUAAACAUCAAAGAACCAAUACAAAACAUUGUGAUGUUUUAGUUACACAAUAUAGGAAAAGAUUAUCAUUAUGUUUUAGGAUUUUUAAAUCAUAGUACCAAUGUAUGAUGUCCAUGUUAUUAUGUGUAGUUACGUAUUUUCUUAAUUUAGUCAACCAUAGUAGUAUAUAAUAGGAUUAGUACUAUUGUGGUAUAUAAUAUUUUUUGGUGACUUCUCUAGUAGGUGAGUUUUAUUUGUUGUAUCUUUUUCUCUCUAUUGGAUAUUUCUUGAAAAUAAUUUGGUAACAUUAUAUAUGUAUUGGUUGAAUUAAAUAAUGUAAUAAGUUGUUCAUAUUAGGAAGUUACUCUUCAAUUACUUCGAAAAAGGAAUUAUUUUCUUUCUUCUUUAAUAAUUUAAAAAUAUCUAUAAUGUCUGAAGGAUUUCAAAUAUGAAGUUUUGGUUCAUUUGGUGUAGCUUUAAACUUUUUUUGAGUGAACAGAUUCAGACCUGAUUCGAGGAAGAAAAUGAUGAUUUUUAGAAACAGCCAAAUUCAUGAAAAUUAUGAAGCAGAUGUAUUAAAUUCGUCUUCUUAUCGUUGAAAUUUUGAGGACAUUUAUGGAUUUUAUAGGGGACUUCAAAUUGGAUUUUGUCUAAUAAAUUGCGGAAAAAAUGUGAGAAUCUUGAAGAACAAUGCUUAAAUUCCAGAAAUUUCAGAAAUAACCAAAUUUUUGUUAUGACUACUUUAUUGUCUAGGUUUUACACUUUCUCUUCUAGUUCAUGUUUUUCUCUUGUGUUCUAUAAUUAGGUUAUAAUUAAUAUUAUUUCAUGCUAGCGUUAUGUAGUUUUUAUGUUUAUAUUUCAUUUCGUUGUAUUUUGUUUCAUGUUUUUUUGUUUAAGUCGUGCUAUGCGUUUAUUUUAUUCAAUGUUCGAUACUAUUUUUUUCCUUUGUUUGUGACAUUAAUUCUAUUAUGUACCAAUAUUCGUAAGCUUACAUUGACCUUAUUUAAGAUGGUAGAACUAUGAAUUGACAAAGGGAUACCCUUUGGUGAUUAAAUCAUUGUAGUCCGAGUCUAAAGCCUUUGACUUUGAGUGUGUACUCCAGUGCAAAUCUAAUUUGAGUGAUACGAGUGAGAGAGUGACUUGUGCAGUUUAUUGUUUUUAGUAAUAAUUUUUUGGUGUUAAUUAUGUAUUACACUAUUCCACUUCUUAGAGAUUAUUGUGUAGUAUUCUAUAAUAAUUAUAGUUGUGCUUUUACAAGAAAAGAAAGCAUAAACCUAUAGAAAAUUUGACUAAAUUCGAAGUUAUUGUCGAGGGAUAUAAGACUGGUUGCACUUUUUGUUGAACCUUAGGUGUAGAUAAAUUGUGUUAUAUUAAAUUAGUGGAUCUAUCUUUGCUUCAAUUAUUGGAGUUACCUUGUAAUAUAAAAUUGAGAACACGGUAAAAUAAAAGAGUCCAAAAUAGAGAAAGAAGGAGAAAAUCAUACAUUUCGUGAGGACAAAUUUGGGUGGGUAGAAGGUCAUAAUCAAUCAAAAAAAUGAAUUCCUAGUAAUGGGCAGUAUAUAUGUGAAUCCAGUGGUCUGUCUUGAACUCAUAGGGUUUUCAGUUUUGAUACUUCUGAGAGACAACCUGUCACGAUCAAAAAUGAUUCGUGAGUGGCACCCACACUUACCUCCUUUGAUGGACGAACCAACACAUCUAAACCCCAACAUAUACAAAUAGUUCAACUAUAAAUAAUAUAAAUAAUGUGAAAGCUCCACAUGAUACUAAGCAACAAAUUUAAAUAAGUUUCUAUAGUUUAUAUCAUCCAAAAAUCUUAUAAUCAUCACGUCAGGGAUACCUAUUUUCAAAUUACCAAGUCUAAGAGUGUUUAAGAAAACAAAAAUAAGCAAAAAGAUGGUCCAUGUCCGGAAUUGAAAGACAUUAAGACGUGAAUGAGAGAAUCCAGUACGAGCUAGAAUUAAUAGCUCACCCUGAACUCUUAUGUGCUGGAGACUGGCUAGAGGUGAGGGCGAGUCGAAGUCGAUGGUACACUUGCUACACUCCACAAAAGAACACAGAAGAAAAUAUAGUUAGGGGUUAUUACAAGGAACACGUACUAAGUAGGUAUCUUCGAUCAACUCAAAAUAGAAAUCAAUAUACAUUGAGUAAUAAUAUAAAAUCAACUACAAUACUGAAUAGGUGGAAAGCAACAAACACAUGAACCAUUGACAACAACAUCAUAAUAGGUACACCAUCAAUCACAACAUCAAGAACACCUGCGAGAACACAUUCCUCCACACCAUACUCAUUUGAAAAACAGGUUCUUUGAGAAUAAGUAUAUUUAGUUACAUCAAGAUUCCUUUCCUUUAAUGUUACUGUGUCGGAACAUGACACUCCGAUCCCAUAUAUCGUGUCGAAAUGUAACACUCCGAUCCCAAAAUACCUUGUCAGAAUGUGACACUCCGAUCCAAUAAUACCUUGUCGGAACGUGACACUCCGAUCCAAUUAUCUCAUUAUUUUAUUUCAUCAAGCCUUAUUUAUUCAAGGCGUCAUUUUAAUAGAGAGGGUUCAAUAUUAGAAAUUCAACAGUCUCAUAAUUUUUGGCCAACCAGAAACCACACAAUCAAAACAUACAACCACACAAUCAAGUACAUAGGAGACUUUAUAAUAUCACUCAAUACAUAUCGAUCGCUAUUCUGAGUUUAUCUAUUACAUAGAAAUAAAUCAUUACCUACCUCCACCAAAGAACUAAAGUCAAGAAAGAUACUUCUCCAAUACUUUUCAUUUCCUCAAUGCCUCCGACUUUUCCAAUCUAUCAACCAUAUAUGCAUAAUUUAUUAGUUUACAAGUAUAUUAUUUUAUGUCUAGUCCAAACUCAAAACUCACUUAAUUCUAUCAUUAAUUUCCUAAAGUUCAGACCUAUGGGUAAGUCUUAAUUCCUUUUAUUAGCAUAUCUUUAAUGGAAUUCAAAUAAUUAAAUACAUUUAAUAUUGAUUACUUAUCUCAAUAUAUCAAAACAUAAUUUAUUAUAUAAUAUCUCACUAUCAAGCUUCAACUCAUCACACAUGCCAUACACAUAUAGCAAAUGAUGGAUAACUAAACCAAUCCAACACACAGAUUGUACCUACAUGUUAACUUACAAUAGCUUACUUCAAUUUGCUACCACACCUUCUUUAUACGUUUCCCAUCUUCCAAAUACCCAACACCAUAACGUUAUAAUAACUUCAGAGCCAUCAAUCCAAUUUCUACCCCCACUAAAACAUUAAUCAUAACCAUAUUAUAUUCCCUCUAAUCCAAUUGGUCUUUGGUGAUACAUAAUUCAUAUUAAGAACACACUUCUAACCUUAUUCUAUUUAUUUAUGUAUUCUAAUUUAACUGUUAAUCUUUUCCUCCCCUAUUUAACAAUUGACACCACCAAUAAUAAAUUAGUAUCUUAAUCCUUUAAUACAUACUACUAAUUUAUUCAUUAAUAUAUAUAUAUUGGUCAAUACUUACCCACCAUUAUCCAGUAACUUGUUAACAUUCACAUUGUCAAGAUAAGUUUCCAAUCAAUCUUUUUCCAACCAAGUACCUAUCCACUUUCAAUUCUAAUGUCACUUGUUAAUAAAAUAGUUUAAAUCCUCACUUUUUUAAAAAAAUUUAUGUUGCACCAUUUAGUUUCUUUAAUAAUCAUUAGGAAGUCAAAAGUUAAUCAAAAAUUAAUUAAUAACCAAGACCUUAUCCCCCAAUCUCAGAAACACUAACAUUAAAUAUUUCUCCCAAUUUCUUUAUAUACUUCCUAUAAUCCAAUUAAUAAAACCCUUUAACACAAUAAUAAAGAAAUUAAUGGCAACCAACAAUAAAUACUUAUAACAUAAAUUUUGAAUUAGAUUGGAUUUUACCUAUAGUCUUGUUAUCGAACUGGUGGGCGGCGCUAAGAACAAGAAGAAGAGGGCAUGCCGACUGUCUUUAAUAUUAAAAUAAUAACAACCAUUAUUUCUUUAACUAAUUAAUUAAUUUUCUUUAUUAAUUAUAUAUAUGGGUAUAAAUUAUAUGGGGAUAAAUUAUGGGUUAAUAAAUAUUAAAUCCUUCUAAUUUUAAUGUUAUAUUCUUUAACCACCAACUAAAUAAGUUAUUAAAACUAUCACAUUAUUUCUAUAAUUGUAGUUAUGAAUGAUCAAAAAUAUCUAUUUAAAUUAUAUUGAAAGAGUAUAUUAUGAAAUAAAAAUCUCUAAUAUUUAAAACAACUAAAUGGGUCAUUACACAACCCUACUCUCUUAUUCAAAAUUUUGGAGAAGCUUUCCUAGUAUCAAUGAAUGAUGCUCUAACACUUUGAAGCAUAUAGAAGGGUUAUCUCCAAAAUGUAACCAAAUUGAAAACCCUAUGAGUGAAAGUAGACUGAAUUUAGGAUCUGAUUGGAAAUCCACAUGCACAAUUUUAUAGAAGUAGCCUGAAUGUUUCUACAAUGAAAUACUUUGUUGUUAUGCUACUAACAGACUAACUAUCCAAUGAUCCAUUCAUUGGAUACUGCGUGAAACUUCAACUUCAUCAAUCAUUUACCAGGAAGGAAAGUCAAUAUGUGUUUCAGUGCCACAUCUUUGAUCUACAUGUCUUUUCUCCUAGUGUAGUUUGCAUGUAGUUUAGAUUCCUCAUUCCAUUCCUGAAUAUAAACAACAGUAAAAUCAUCAUUUUGAACCUCCGAUCCAUGUAAAAAUAGGUAUUGUCAUUAAAUGAAAGAGAUAUAUACCUAUCAAUUAGAAAUUACAAGUCAAACUCAUACUAGUUGGUAUCAGUCUCAUGAAACAUUUAUUUCUACUCCUCUCUAUUUAGGUUGGGUAUUUUCAACAUGUUCAUUUACAAAGGCUCAUCUAAAUAGUGUAUUCCUUUUUUUUUAGAUGUUGAUGAAUACACUAUUUAAAUGAGCCUUUGAAUGUGAACAUGUUUAAAGUGCCCGCCCUAAAUAGGGAGGAGUAGAAAUAAAUGUUUCCUGGGAACGACUAUGUGUUUGAGCUUUAAUUAAUUACUUGAUAUAUAUAUAUAUAUCGUUCAUCUGAUAACAAUACCUCUUUUUCUUGGAUUGAAGGUUCCAAAGGAAGACUUUAAGGUUGUUUCUUAUAAGUGGGAAUGGAAUCAGAAAUCUAAAUUACCUACAGAAUUUAUUAGGAGAGAAGACAUGAAGUUCAAAGAUGUAGUUAUGAAACAUGUAUUACCUUUCUUUCCCGGUAAAUCAUCAAUGAAAUUUAUGUAGUGUCCAACGAAUGGAAUCAUUGGAUAGUUAGGCCAUUAUUACCAUACCAGUAAAGUAUUUCAAUGCAGAAACUUUCAGACUAUUCUCAAAUUGUGGAUGUGAUUUCCAUUCAGAUCUUACUUUCUUCUGUCUGGACCAUUUUGCGGAUGGAAUCCUCCAUGCAUCCCUUGGUUUCUUGCCUUAAAGGAGUCAAAGAAAAUCAUGAUUAUUUGUUUUGUACAUAUUAUUGAAGAGAAGAGGGUCAUAAAAAGGACAACCUAGAAAGGAAGAAAUUCAUGAAUCAAUGAAGCAAAUAAAGAUGAGACUACUUUUUCAAGUAGAAAGAAAUCUUUAUUUUAUAAAAUAAAGAUAAAGACUGUUCAUUAUGUACUUAUAAAGUUAAGAAAAACUUAUCCCAACCAUUUAGUUAUUUCAAAUAACUUGUCAGAGAGUUGAGUAUUAAAUUUAAACAAUCUCUUUGUGAGGUUGCUUUGUAUUAUUAUGCAAAUAGAGUGUCACCACAUACUUGUUGCUUAUGGUUAUGGAGCUAAAAUUGUCAUUGAUUGUAAUCUUAAAAUUUUUUAAACAAGUUUUAUAUGAAGUAUGGAUAAAUGUGGUACAAAGUAUUUCCUUAUAUUCUUGUGAUAAAGGUGAAUUUAUUUCUUCUUUUGCUACUAAGAGUACUAAAAAUGUGAUUAGCAGUAAAUGUCUCUUUCCUAGUGAAAUUUUUUCUUAUAAAUAUUUAUCUUCUAAGGACAUGAAUGUUUUUUGUGAUUGGUCUUUUAAAAUUCAGCAUAAAAUUGUAACGAUAUGAUGCGUUUUAGCCUAAAUAAUUUCAAAAUAUAUAUAAAAAAAAUUACAAUCAUUUAUUUUUUUAAAAAAAAUUUCAAGAAGGUUCGAAAAGUGAUCUUUUUGUGAAUAAUGUGAGUCUUUCUUUGGGUUGUCCUAAUGUUUAUAGUGUUAUUCUCAUAUAUCGCAAUUUAAAAAUUGAAUUUAGAGAUGUAAACACUUUGAUCAACUCCAUUUGAAAUAAUUCAUUCCCUUUUUAUUAGUGCACUUCAUAAAAGUAAUCAGAAUACAAUGCAUGCAAUUGACGCGAUGUCGAUAUUUUACACUCUCAAGAUGGUAUUUUAAUUGAAUUAUAUUUUUGUUUAAAAACUACUUUUAAAAUGUAAUAGAAAAGAAUUAUACUGUAAAUCAGAUGGUGAGCCCACUAUAUUUACUAAUUAUGAAUACUUACUAUUAGUUAUUUUUUAUAAUAAGCUUUAUUAUAAACUAUUUAAGAUUUGUAUAGCAAGUUUUCACUAUGUAAAACAGUUCACACAGUUCCAUGAGAGAAUUUCUUCAUUUAUUGUUAAUAAUAUGACAUCUAAGAAAAAAAUAUAGAAAACAUUUCAUGUAACUCAUGUUGACCAAAAAAUGUCGUUCCUUUCGCAUCAUUCUUAAGGAUAUAUUCAUUUUUAAAUAAAAUAUUAGUAUGCUUUCAUUUUUUAAUGAGUGGAAACUUCAAAUUAUGUCAUUCUACUACGAUGAAAUUGUUUCUUUCUAAUAUGCUUCAAAGAAAUUGUUUCUUUUUUGUUUUCUUAUUCCUAAGUUUCUGUUUAUUUUUAAUUAUCUCAAAUACAGUUCAGGUCAAGAUAUGAUUAUAUUCUGAUAUGGGUAUCAAAUGUUUGUUAUCUUUUCAUUUUGUUAUGUUAAUAUUAUUUUUCUAGGUAUUGUUUAGAAUUAUUUAUUAAUAUUUGUGAUGUUUCCAUUACUUUUUGUAUUCUCAUUUUAAAUUUGUUUUGAUAUGCGUUCUUAAAUUGAGAGUUUUAUUAAUUUAUUUUACCUAUACAAAAGGUGGAUGGAGGAUUUCAACUAUUGAUAUUGUUAAUGAAUAUAUUAUUACUAGUAAAUGGGUAAGCACUUCGCGCGGUUAGAUUAUUGUUGUUCAAAAUUUAUUAGAAUACAACUUUUUUUGUAUUUUAAUGUUAUAGUAUUUUUAGAUAAAUCUUUUUUUAAGACAAUAGAUAGUUAUUCAAUUUUAGUUUACAAUUUUUAAUAUUAAAAGAAUAAGAAAAAAUACAUAUCAUAAUAUUAGUUUCUCCUCAUUUAAAUGAUUGAAUAAUAGCACUAUCUCACACACACACACCCGCUCGCCCUCUUGCACGCCCGCCCGCACAGAGAGAGAGAGAGCGAGAGAGAGAGAGAAAGCAAAGGUCCCAUAAUCAUAGGAUAUACCAAUGAGUAAUAUUUAGCCAUUACAUGUUUUCAAAUUGACAUGCAAUCUUCUAAAAUCCAAAUUUGAUGUGUAAAAUAGUUAUGAUACUGUUCUGGAACUGGAGUUUUGCACAAACAAAAUAUUGAGGAUCCUUGGAAAGAAUAAAACAGAAGUAAGUGAUAAAGGGGAAAAAUUUGAAAAAAAAGAAGUACAUUUGUGUGAGAGAAUAGUCAUCAUUUUCUAUCAUAUAAUUAUAAUUAAUUCCUAGUUUUAAUUCUUAUCAUUUGACUUUCUACUCUUUUACUCAUAUUAAUAUUAAAAUUAUAAUGACAAUAACAAAAAUUCAUAUGAAUUAUUAGGCUUGAUCUCCGGAGAGGAAAAGACUUCUUUGAAGACUGUCGUAUAUAAAUAUAUUUUGUAAGAUGUUAUUUGUGUAUCUGCAUAGUUAGAUUUAUAUGUCGUAUGUACUAAAAAAUACUUAUAUCAAUAAUUUAUAGAAAUUUAAACAACAAAGUUUAAAAUAUAUAGUCAAAAAUAACAAUUCAUAUCAUAAGCAUAAAUUAAUGGCUUUAAAAAUAUACCAUGAUCUGUAAUAAUAAAUUAAAAUAAUAAGGAAAAAUCAAGCGUAUUGAGUGUGGAGUUUCUCCUUGUCAGUGAGCUAUUCAACAGGAGGAAAGUACACAAAUAUUUAAUUAUGCAGAAGAUGAAAAAGAAUAGGAAGAAGAAGAAGUUUUGAAUCCAAUAUUUAAUUGGGCACAAGAAGAAGUAGAGAAUUUUUCAUUAUUUUGAGAGGAGAGGAAACCCCUCUAUUUAUAGACAACAAAGUGUAACACCCUAAAAUGAAUUAAGGUGAACUAAAGCUUCGUAAAUAUUUCGUGAGUUAGUUUUUUUUUUUUAAAAAAAAUGAGUUACAUUGAUAUUAUUAGGCAGUGUGUGAACUUUGGUAAUGCUUGGAGGUCAUAUGUCCAAGAACGUCCAUGACGUUUGGAAGAUAUGCUUUAGAAAGUACUUGUUUGUCUUGAUGUGUUUUAGUGAAUUUUACGUGUUCGUUUUGUUUGAAAUUGGUGUAGAAUUUUCCUAAGACAUAGAAGUCUAUGUUUAGGGGUUUAACAUCCAGGUAUGACCCCAUCUAGGACCAAAGAGCUACCCUAGAGGACUCCAUUUAUGUGUUAAGAGGCUACCAAACAGUGCCCAACGACGGCCACAAUGGAGGGUCUUUUGGUCAAGAAAUGGUCCGUCGACUGGCCAUGCAAGGAUAUCAAGCCACCAUGUGAAGGAUUCUCUGUCCCAAUUGAUAGACCUCCACCAAUAGGGCGUUGAUUGGGAGACAGUCCAUUUGUGGGGAGACGUUGGUGCAAAAAACUGCCUUGGCUUGGGGUAUUUGGUAAAUUCACCCCAAGUCUUUUAGGAACAUUUUAUGAUACUUUUAGGGUCCUUUGGGUAUAUUAAGGAGUUUCGAACACUUAGACCAAAUUUUAAACUUCAUUUCCUCAAAUCCAAAACCUUCUCUCUAGAAAGACACUCUCUAAAACCAAAUAGAAGUUUGGACUCAAGAAGGGCUUAGAGGGCUGGUGGUGGACGUGUUUUUUCAUUAAAAUCAUUGGGUUUCCUUCUAUUUGAGGUAUGGUAGUCAUCCUUUAACUCUCUUCUAUUCAAGGAUCCACUUCUAAGGAAUUUCAAAAGAGGUUUUCCAACCCUAACUUCUUCUAUCUUUGACUAAGUAUGGGUCUUCCAUGAAAAUGUUUCAAAGGAUUCAAAUAUCAUGUUUCUAAUGUUAUUUGGUGAUUUUAAUGCUAAAACUUCAAUUAAAACAUAUUAAAUAUUUCAAUCAAUUUUUUGCUUAAGGAAUGGGUUGAAUGAACAUGGUUUUGUAAUCUUUGAUCUUUGGUGUCCUUGUGUUGAAAUGUUAAGUGUUAUAGGUAAUGGAAGUUUAGAUAAAGGGUAAGUUGGUUAUGUUUUUUAGCUUCUUCUAUGAAAUGCUCUUGAGUUGUAUGGUCCACCUUUGGUGGCGGUGUUCGCUUAAAUUAUAUGAAUGUGUAGUUAAUUGUGUAUUGUGAAUGAGUCCAUGAGGGCAUAUUAUGGAAGAAAUAUGGAAAUGAAGUUAUUCUUGUUAAUGCGUUUUAUGAUGCUUGUUAUGAAAAGUAUGCUAAGGAUUAUGUCUAAAUGAUUUAUAUGAAUAUGUAAAGUAUGUUAAAGUGUGUGAUGUGAUGAAUGAAUGUCUGAGCAUGUAUAGAUUGAAUGUGAAUGAAAUGAUGCCAAUGUCCAAGGUGUGCUCACAUGUACACACACUCACACUUUGAAUGAAUGAAUGAAUGAAGUUAAGGAAUGAGAAUCAGAAGGGGAGUUUUUGGGAUGAACACUCUUCGUGAGUUGAGAUGAAGUGUUUAGUAGCAAUCCCACUACCUCCAAAGAUCUUUCUAAGAUAGGUUAAAAGGAUAAUUGCCCUUCGUGAGUUGAGAUGUGGUGUUCACUAGUUAUCCUUAACCUAUAGUAUAUAAUGUAGAGAAUUCGUGGGAUUUAUGCUUAGCAUCGAGAGGAUAUGAUGAGGGGUGGUUACACUUUCUAAGUUGAGAAGUUGUAUUUCAAGUUACCUCUUGAGAUGAGUAUUACUCGUUAGUAGAGAAUAAGUUACUUAGUAGCGGGAUGUCCUUAUCCCUUAACUAUGUAAAAGCUAAAAGAAACACCUAACUCUAGGCAAGUGGAGGGACCCUCCUCUGAUAAGGGAAGUAUCGGGAUUCCAUGUCUAGCUCUCAUUGUCUAUAUAGGUUAAGCUAACCCCCACAAAAUAAAUUAAAUUACGAAGUCUUCUAAAACAAUGUACUACUUAUGGUAGGUUGUGGAAUGAGAUGCUAUCGAUCCAUUUCACUAGGUAGUCAUUUCGAAAGGGGAGUCUUGGGGUGUCUUAUAAGAAUUGAAUGAACUAUGUUUUCUCAAAGAGUGUACUAGUUAAGGUAGGUGGUAGAAUGGGACGUCAUCAAUUCAUUACACUAAGUAGGCUUUUUGGAAGGGAAGUCUUGUUAUUUUAUGUGAAGUGUUUUGAGUGUUCUUCCAAUAUCUUAUUAUUGAAGAGUCGGCUUGUUAUCCCGAGGUGAGUAAGACUUUAAUAGAUGGUCUUGAGGAUCAUUUAGGUGUGCAUGAAGGGAUUGUAUGGGUGGUCCCCAAUUUUCUUACCUUGGUGAGUCUUAGGAUAACCUAUUUUUUAGGGAAACUCCUAUGGAAAUGAAUUCACUUGCUCUUGGCUUGACUUUGUGAGUUCACUGUUUUGGGUUUAAAAAAGGGUUCACUUUAAUGCUAAAAUGAUUUCAAUGUAACUUUUGGGUAGUUCACUGUAAAAUGGUCUUUUUUGCUAAAAUUAUGAAAAUCCUUCUCUAAGUGUUAAAUGAUGAUUCUUAUGUUGUUUUACUUCUAUAUUCAUAAAGGUUUUACUUAUUUGGCAUGAGAUUUUAUUUAUAAUAAAAUAUCCAUUUUUGCAUGGUUUUGCAUAUGUCAUAUUUAGUAUAUUGUUUCUACUAACCCAAUACUUUUCAUACUCUAUAAGUAUAGGUUUGGAAGCGAGAAUGAAGUUAGAAGGCAAGCUUGGAAAAGACUCUCUCAAUACUAAGUAUGUCCUUAUAUAUUUGAGGACAUAGUCUAUGUUUCCUAGUUUAUUUAAGACUUAUUAUCUAUUUCUUUUAAUGUAAAGGGCCUUUUCCUAAGAUAUUAUGUCGUGUCUUUAAGUUUGGCUUGUGAAAAUGAGACUUUUCUUGGUAUUUAUGAAAGAAUUCCUUUUUUUUAUAUUAAAUGUCAUAAAAAAAUUUUAUUACCGCAAUACAUUUUAUGUCUUAUGCAAUGAAUGAUAGUUAAAGGGCUUGUACAGACCCCAAGGGGUCAAGUACGCUUUGUGAAGAUCCAAGGGUGCUCCCUAACUUCUAGGGGGUACUUGCGGGUCGUUACACAAAGGGUAGUGCGAAUAAAUCUUAAUUGUGACUUACUGCAAAUCUCACAAGUCUAUGGAAAAGUCACAACUUUUUGUAUAGGCAAAAAAAAAAUUCAUAAAUGUUACAACUUUUUUUAAAAGUGACAACUCUUCAUUAAUGUCAGAACUUAUCAUAAAAGUCACAAAUUUUCAUAAAAGUCACAACUUUUCAUCAAAGGUUAAUCAAUUCUAGUUUAGAAUUUUUUAUAUAAAAAUAAAAGCCACAAUUAUAAAUCAUAACUCUAUUUUCUCCUAGUUUUUAUAAUUUUAUUUUACCAUGUGUAGAUAGUGUCUUUAGUUAGAGAUUCAAAUAAAUUUUUUCUCAAUUUUCU